UUAUAAAUAGUUUAACUAAAACCUUACUUUUUCAUAGUAACCAUAAAUAUCAAUUAUUUUUUAUAUU
rnacentral:tRNA from 1 species